UACGGGGGGGGUAAGCGUUGUUCGGAAUUACUGGGCGUAAAGGGCUCGUAGGCGGCCAACUAAGUCAUACGUGAAAUCCCUCAGCUUAACCGGGGAACUGCGUCUGAGACUGGCGGGCUUGAGUGCAGGAGAGGAACGCGGAAUUCCAGGUGUAGCGGUGAAAUGCGUAGAUAUCUGGAGGAACACCGGUGGCGAAGGCGGCGUUCUGGACUGUUACUGACACUGAGGAACGAAAGCCAGGGGAGCAAACGGG
rnacentral:rRNA from 1 species